UCUGACGAGCCCUCGCGGCAUCCCUUCUCUUUCUCUAUAUAAAUCGCGCCGUGUCUCUAUAGACCACGACUUCUCUCUCUAAAGUCUCUCUCGGUUUCUCUUUCUGAAUCGAUAGAUUUUCAAGGUCUCCGCUUUCUCUUUUUAUGUAUGUGUGUGUGGACAACUGCGUGUAUAUGUAAAAAUGCGUUGUGUAUGAUUUUCUUUUGAAACUGUUUAAAUGGUGUGUUUUACUAGUUCGAUCUGUAAUUUCGAACUGAAAAUUGAGGCCCUAGAGACGAAAUUAAGCUGUGAAAAUUAGGGUUUUAUCUGAAUUUGUCUCUAUCCCCGCUUUCGGGGCUGGGUUAGAUAAUUUUAAGGCUUUGCAAAGACUUAUAAUUGAAGAAUUCUAGGAUUUUUUUUUUCAGUGCCCUGAUCGAAUGCUUCAUUAGGGAUACUGCGCAAUUAAGAAGAAUUAAGAAGUUCAGAUAUCGUUAAGAACAGUUUGAAAUUACCAUGAAGGUGAGAUUUUGAGCAGUGUUGGAUUGAUUCAUGUUUGAAAUUGGGGUAUUUGGUGGUGAGAGAUUUCGGGGAAAAUGCUAAAAACCAAUCUCUAUUAUGCAUGGGACGGUUCAGCGGGAAGGUGAGAGCAGUAGGUGUCUACGAAGGAGUUAUAGUCAUCACAUGCGGUCGGUCCAACCCUUGGCUACGAGGAGCAACAGAACUAUAGCCGCUGGGAGUGAUCAUUCUUCAGUCACUUCUUCUACCAUCACCACCACCUUAACUACUAGUGAUUCAUUUUUCAAGGUACUUUCUUAUUGGAUUUUACAAGUGUUCCAUGUUUUUCUUGUUUGGGUUUUUGUUUUUUUCAAGGAUGCAACUAAAGCUUGAUUAUAGACAUCAAGUGUAUACAUUCUUCAAUUAUCUACAAUUACAUCAUUCUUAAAUUAGCAAGAGGUACUAGGAUGUGACUUUUCUAUUCAUCACCGCCAUUAGCUUCAAGUUCAAAAGCAUUACCAGAUGUACCACCACCUAAUCCCAAAAAUUUGAAGCCACCUUUUGUGCUAGAGGAAGAAGCACAACUUGGUUAGUUCGUUGCACAUGAUCACUUCCUAUUGAGUGCCAUAUGACAAGACAAACGCUCAUAAUAGGAAUCCCCAGUAAGGUGGAAUCUACCAUGUAUACAACCUGACUGAUGGAAACUUCAUAUCCAUCAGGCACUUGACUUCCACCACCCCAUAUACAUAAGACAGAUAUGGAGUGAAACUAAAAUAUCAACUACCACACCAAACAUAAGGCUCAACCAGGGGAAGAAGAAGAUGAGAAGUAAACUGUAUCCAUUAAAUGGCUUAAAGAAUGACACUGAUAAUCAUGUACUAAAAAAAGUUACAACCUCGAGAAACACUGAACAAGUAAUCCACUUUGGACUUAAAUGACAUGCUUUUAUAUGAACCUUAAAAAUAAAUCCUAGUCACAUAGAGACUGCAAUCUAGACUUGUUUGCAAGUGUUUAAUUUACAAACAUUUGUGGUGAAAUCACUUCUUAUCCACACAUUUCAUGAAAUUCACAAGUAAUGCCCACUUAUCCACCACUCAUUUCUAUCUAUUUAUAACUUAAACCGGUUUUAAACACUUCCCAAAUGCUUUAAAAGUGAUAAGCCUUCAGUGAAGUACACUUAGCCACAAUCCUACACCGGAGAUGCAUUAUUGCUGUUCUUUAAUAGUAACUUAACUCCCACACAAACACCAAUCAAUGAAUAAUUCCACUUUAUUAUGUGGGAUGCUUCAUUGAUUGUGUUAUAUAUAGUUCCUUGUUGGCACAGUCUGGUUUAUCCAUCCCGAGUUGCAUUUCUGUUGUUGAACACCGAUGCUGUGAUUGGUAUGGAAGGUGAUCUGAGAAUCAUUUGACUCCUCGCUGAUCAAAUGCGAAGAAAUUAUUUUCGAACCCAAUAUCCAUGUGUUGGCAAUGUACUAAUGCAUGCAGAAGCAAACUAAAAAAAAAUAGUUACUAUUUCUGCUGCAACCAGGAUAAAAGUAUUGAUUGUGCUAAAAUAUUGAAGGAAUGGAAAAAUCUGUCACUUCACCUAUGUUCUUUCUUUUGAAUUUAUAUAAUGAAGUUCUUACAGGUGUAGAUUUAUGUUAGUGCGUCUCUCAGAGUGUAGGGAAUGAAAAAUUCUAAUUCCAGAAGCAGGUUCAUGCGAAUGCCAUUAAGUUAUAAGCC
rnacentral:lncRNA from 1 species